rnacentral:rRNA from 1 species
GUGCCAGCAGCCGCGGUAAUACCGGCAGCCCGAGUGAUGACCGAUCUUAUUGGGCCUAAAGCGUCCGUAGCUGGCUACGCAAGUCCGUCGGGAAAUCCACUCGCCCAACGAGUGGCCGUCCGGUGGAAACUCCACACCUUGGGACCGGAAGGCUCGAAGGGUACGGCCGGGGUAGGAGUGAAAUCCUGUAAUCCCGUCCGGACCACCGAUGGCGAAAGCACUUCGAGAAAACGGAUCCGACAGUGAGGGACGAAAGCUAAGAUCGCGAACCGGAUUAGAUACCCGAGUAGUCC